rnacentral:rRNA from 1 species
GACGAACGCUGGCGGCGUGCUUAACACAUGCAAGUCGAACGGUAAGGCCCUGUAGGGGGUCCACGAGUGACGAACGGGUGGGUAACACGGCAGUAAGCUGCCCACCGCUUUAGGAUAACGCUAGGUAACUGGUGCUAGUACUGGAUAAGUGGGACUGCUGCCUGGUGGGGGUUUGAAAGCUCCUGCGGUUGUGGAUGGACUUGCGGCCGAUCAGCUUGGUGGGGGGGUAGUGGCAUACCAAGGCGGUGUAGGGGAGCCGGCCUGGGAGGGUGAGCGUCCACAUUGAGACUGGGAUAGGGCCCAGACUCCGACGGGAGGGAGAGGUGGGGAAUAUUGAACAAUGGGCGCAGGCGGGAUGCAGCAACGCCGCGGGCGGGAUAACGGCGUUCGGGUUGUAAACCGCUUUCAGCAGGGACGAAGCAUGUUGUGACGGUACCUGCAGAAAAAGCACCGGCUAACUACGUG